rnacentral:sRNA from 1 species
GUCGGGUGCGGUGGCUCACAUCUGUAAUCCCAGCGGCUCAGAGGCUGAGGCAGGAGGAUCACAAGUUCAAAGCCAGCCUCAGCAACUUAGUAAGGCCCUAAGCAACUCUGUGAGACCCUGUCUCUA